rnacentral:rRNA from 1 species
GCGGACGGGUGAGUAAUGUCUGGGAAACUGCCUGAUGGAGGGGGAUAACUACUGGAAACGGUAGCUAAUACCGCAUAACGUCGCAAGACCAAAGAGGGGGACCUUCGGGCCUCUUGCCAUCGGAUGUGCCCAGAUGGGAUUAGCUAGUAGGUGGGGUAACGGCUCACCUAGGCGACGAUCCCUAGCUGGUCUGAGAGGAUGACCAGCCACACUGGAACUGAGACACGGUCCAGACUCCUACGGGAGGCAGCAGUGGGGAAUAUUGCACAAUGGGCGCAAGCCUGAUGCAGCCAUGCCGCGUGUAUGAAGAAGGCCUUCGGGUUGUAAAGUACUUUCAGCGGGGAGGAAGGGAGUAAAGUUAAUACCUUUGCUCAUUGACGUUACCCGCAGAAGAAGCACCGGCUAACUCCGUGCCAGCAGCCGCGGUAAUACGGAGGGUGCAAGCGUUAAUCGGAAUUACUGGGCGUAAAGCGCACGCAGG